UGGGGAAUUUUGGACAAUGGGCGCAAGCCUGAUCCAGCAAUGCCGCGUGCAGGAUGAAGGCCUUCGGGUUGUAAACUGCUUUUGUACGGAACGAAACGGCUCUGGUUAAUACCUGGGGCUAAUGACGGUACCGUAAGAAUAAGCACCGGCUAACUACGUGCCAGCAGCCGCGGUAAUACGUAGGGUGCGAGCGUUAAUCGGAAUUACUGGGCGUAAAGCGUGCGCAGGCGGUGAUGUAAGACAGAUGUGAAAUCCCCGGGCUCAACCUGGGACCUGCAUUUGUGACUGCAUCACUCGAGUACGGCAGAGGGAGGUGGAAUUCCGCGUGUAGCAGUGAAAUGCGUAGAUAUGCGGAGGGACACCGAUGGCGAAGGCAGCCUCCUGGGCCAGUACUGACGCUCAUGCACGAAAGCGUGGGGAGCAAACA
rnacentral:rRNA from 1 species